AUGGCUCAGAACGAACGCUGGCGGCGCGUCUUAAGCACGCAAGUCGGACGGCAAGGGUUGUGCUUGCACAACUCCUAGAGUGGCGGACUGGUGAGUAACGCGUGGGUGACCUGCCCUCGAGAUGGGGAUAGCCAUUAGAAAUAGUGGAUAAUACCGAAUACGCUCAUGACCCUGUGGGGAUAUGAGGAAACAGGCUACGGCCUGGCUCGAGGAUGGGCCCGCGUCCCAUUAGCUAGUUGGUGAGGUAACGGCCCACCAAGGCGACGAUGGGUAUCCGGCCUGGGAGGGUGUACGGACACAUUGGGACUGAGAUACGGCCCAAACUCCUACGGGAGGCAGCAGCUAAGAAUAUUCCGCAAUGGACGAAAGUCUGACGGAGCGACGCCGCGUGGAUGAAGAAAGGCCGGAAGGUUGUAAAAUCCUUUUGCUGAUGAAGAAUAAGUGUGGUAGGGAAUGACCGCAUGAUGACAUUAGUCGGUGAAUAAGCCCCGGCUAACUACGUGCCAGCAGCCGC
rnacentral:rRNA from 1 species